AGCUCUGUAAGCGUAUACCAAAGUUGUUGCAGUUAAAACGCUCGUAGUCGGAGGUUGGCGGGCGACCUGGGGCGUCUUCACGGACGGAUCCAGGGCGGCCGCCUUUGUGGAGGGGGGCCCAGUGGAGCUUCACUGCGUCACUGUGGUCGCUGCCACCGUUUACUGUGAAAAAAUUAGAGUGUUCAAAGCGGGCGUUUGCCAUGAAUACAUUAGCAUGGAAUAAUAGAAUAGGACCUGUCUCCUGUUUUGUUGGUUUGUGAGGAACGGGUAAUGAUUAAGAGGGACGGUUGGGGGCAUUUGUAUUCCGGCGUCAGAGGUGAAAUUCUUGGAUUGGCGGAAGACAAACAGCUGCGAAAGCGUCUGCCAAGGACGUUUUCAU
rnacentral:rRNA from 1 species